UGGGGAAUUUUGGACAAUGGGGGCAACCCUGAUCCAGCAAUGCCGCGUGUGUGAAGAAGGCCUUCGGGUUGUAAAGCACUUUUGUCCGGAAAGAAAACGUCGUGGUUAAUACCCGUGGCGGCUGACGGUACCGGAAGAAUAAGCACCGGCUAACUACGUGCCAGCAGCCGCGGUAAUACGUAGGGUGCAAGCGUUAAUCGGAAUUACUGGGCGUAAAGCGUGCGCAGGCGGUCCGCUAAGACAGAUGUGAAAUCCCCGGGCUUAACCUGGGAACUGCAUUUGUGACUGGCGGGCUAGAGUAUGGCAGAGGGGGGUAGAAUUCCACGUGUAGGCAGUGAAAUGCGUAGAGAUGUGGAGGAAUACCGAUGGCGAAGGCAGCCCCCUGGGCCAAUACUGACGCUCAUGCACGAAAAGCGUGGGGGAGCAAACAGGAUUAGAUACCCUGGUAGUCCACGCCCUAAACGAUGUCAACUAGUUGUCGGGUCUUCAUUGACUUGGU
rnacentral:rRNA from 1 species